rnacentral:rRNA from 1 species
CCGUGGAAAGUCUGGUGAACCUUAUCAGCUUAGAGGAAGGAGCAGUCGUAACAAGGUUUCCGUAGGUGAACCUGCGGAAGGAUCAU